rnacentral:rRNA from 1 species
CCGCGUGAGUGAUGAAGGCUUUCGGAUCGUAAAACUCUGUUGUUAGGGAAGAACAAGUACCGUUCUAAUUGGGCGGACCCUUGCCGGUCCCUAACCAAAAGCCCACGGUUACUUACUGGCCACCACCCGCGUAAUUACUUAGUUGGCAGCGUUUGCCCGAAUUUAUUGGCCUAAAAGGGCUCCCAGGCGGUUUCUUAAUCCGAAGGUGAAACCCCCCGGUCCACCCGGGAAGGGCCAUUGAAAACGGGGAAAUUUGAUGGCAAAAAAAGAAAGUGAAAUUCCCCUGGAACCGUGAAAUUGCUAAAAAUUGUGAAGAAACCCCAUGGGCAAAGGCGACUUUUGGGUCGGUACCUGACCCUAAGGACCAAAACCUGGGGAAGCGAACAGAAUUAAAUACCCGGGUAUCCCACCCCUAAAACAAUAAUGGCUAAUGGUUAAGGGGUUCCCCCCCUUUAUGGCUGCACUAAACGCAUUAACCACUCCCCCUGGGAGAG